AACGAACGCUGGCGGCAUGCCUAACACAUGCAAGUCGAACGAGAUCUUCGGGUCUAGUGGCGCACGGGUGCGUAACGCGUGGGAAUCUGCCCUUUGGUUCGGAAUAACAGUUGGGAACGACUGCUAAUACCGGAUGAUGACGAAAGUCCAAAGAUUUAUCGCCAGAGGAUGAGCCCGCGUAGGAUUAGCUAGUUGGUGUGGUAAAGGCGCACCAAGGCGACGAUCCUUAGCUGGUCUGAGAGGAUGGUCAGCCACACUGGGACUGAGACACGGCCCAGACUCCUACGGGAGGCAGCAGUGGGGAAUAUUGGACAAUGGGCGAAAGCCUGAUCCAGCGAUGCCGCGUGAGUGAUGAAGGCCUUAGGGUUGUAAAGCUCUUUUACCCGGGAUGAUAAUGACAGUACCGGGAGAAUAAGCUCCGGCUAACUCCGUGCCAGCAGCCGCAGUAA
rnacentral:rRNA from 1 species